GCCCGCCUAGCUCAAUCGGAUAGAGCGUCAGACUCUUACUACUGCUAGGCGAUUGUGAUCUGAAGGCUGCGAGUUCGACCCUCGCGGUGGGCU